GCUUCGGUGGCCUAGUGGUUAGAUCGUCUACCUUGGAUGCGGGAGGUCGUGGGUUCGAUUCCCGGUCGAAUCA